ACCUACAAGCGGUGGAU
rnacentral:rRNA from 2 species